CAACCCUUAAGCCUCUGUUGCUUAGCGUUGGGGGCCUACGGCUCUGGCUGUAGCUCCCUAAAUUGAGUGGCGGAGUCGGUUCACGCCCUAGAUGUAGUAAUUAUUUUUAAUCUCACCUAGAGCUGCCCCGAUCUCCUGCCGUAAAACCCCCUAAUUUUUUAAA
rnacentral:misc_RNA from 1 species